CCAGCACACACAAAAAUUGUGCUAGGCCAGAAGGGCUGCUGGUACAGCUCUGGACCUGACUUGGGCAUAGAUUGCCUGUGGAUCCCAGACCUGUCUCUUGGUUUGCUCUUUACCUGUGCAUAGACUGCUUGGCUUCUGACCCUAGACUGCUUUGAUCCUGAUUUUUGUCUGACCCUCUUGGUUUUGAGGAAUGCUUGAAAACGGCUACAGUAACUUGUGAAGCCUCCAGCCUCAGUUCCUCAGCCCAGUUUGAAAAUGGGACAAAUGUCCUCUUUGCCCAACAACUGGCAAUCUCCAUUGACAAUGGUGAUGGCCACAUUAAAACUGAAUCACUUCAGCUUGAGAAACGUGACUGGAUUCCAAGUUAAAGGUCUCUGCUGGUUGAGAAGCUGAGGGAGUCGCCUCCGUCCUUGGAUGACUUCAGCGAAGUCUGUCCUUGCCUCGCCAACAACGGGAGAGAACAUCCCAGGCCACAGAUGUUCUCCAGGCCUCUCAGAAAACCUCAUGCUCCAUUUGCCAAUGAACUAACAACAAACCACCAGAUCCAAAUAUUUUGUUUCAUAGCCAUGAACAAAAAGCACCACUAUCCAUGUUGCUAACGACGUGGGGUUUUAGCAGAUAAAAGCAAACAACCUCUUUUAUAAAGCCCUGUAGAAUCAGACAGAAGGUUCAUGAAAUCCAGCAUCAUGUUUCAGGCAGGGGCUAAACAGAUGCCUCUGAUAGAUUUGGUUUGGUUCACCCUUUAAUGUGAAACAACCAAAUUCGCACUUCCGGAAACAAUACAUGAAUCAAAGUGUGGCCAUCUUUUGAGAAUCUGCACUUCUCUGAAUUUUGCAAUAGUUUUCCAUCCAAAGAUUGUGAACAAAAAUGCAUGUAUUAGGGGAAAGUCUGGAUUAAAAUGUGUAUGUUAGUGAAAAAACAUACUAAAAUGCAUUAUACUCUACUGGGAGGAAUGGCGGAUAUAAAGCAAAUAAUAAAAUA